UUGGGUAGACAGCAGAUUUCACAGCAUCCAGAAUUGUUGCUCCUGCUCAAUGUAGAAAAAAAAGUGAUACUCACGGCAACACAAGGAGAAAAGACGUAUGGAAUCCCUGUAGCUCUAACUUCCAGUGCAGUUGCAGCACCAAUCCUCCUAAUAAGGCAACCAGGCAGCAACUAAGGCAUCGAUGGAGUCCAUGUAAGGCUCAAUGACAAUGGGGCGGCCAGAGAUAACAACGACAACACACUUGAUGGACUUGCAGACAUUGCUGAUA